rnacentral:lncRNA from 1 species
UCCAACACUUUCUGGAACAACCUAUUUGAUAAUUAUCUACUAAUCAAGCAGGCUGCUUCCCUUUCACAUUCCCUUCGACGCUAACUUCUUCCAUCUGGACAACCACAUUCACAUUCAUUGAAAUCUAGAGAUCUUUAUCGUCACUUAUUCGAACUCAAUAUUGAAAUGAACAGGACAUUCCUUCAAUUGCUUCAUUCUCGGCAGGGUUGUUUGACGGACCGCUUGGUGUAUCUUUCACAACCCAAUCCCAAAAUCCACAAUUGUUACUACAGCAAAGGAAUAAUUUUCCUUUGUUUUUAGACUCCUUUUCCACAGCGAAACAUUUCUCAAAUCCACGAUUACAUAGUUUGCAAAGGCGUUUCUUCUUGCAGUUAGCAAAGAAGUGAUCUUUGGCUCAACAACUGUGAUAAAUUCCGGAGUUCCUUCUGGGCAUUCUAAGAUGGAAUCCACCACUACCAACAAAGGUGGAGUCAGUAAUGCAACAUUUCAAUAAAAAAUACAACUAAUCACAUCUGAUUAAACACAAUAA